GUCCACGCCCUAAACGAUGCGAACUGGAUGUUGGGUGCAAUUUGGCACGCAGUAUCGAAGCUAACGCGUUAAGUUCGCCGCCUGGGGAGUACGGUCGCAAGACUGAAACUCAAAGGAAUUGACGGGGGCCCGCACAAGCGGUGGAGUAUGUGGUUUAAUUCGAUGCAACGCGAAGAACCUUACCUGGUCUUGACAUGUCGAGAACUUUUCCAGAGAUGGAUUGGUGCCUUCGGGAACUCGAACACAGGUGCUGCAUGGCUGUCGU
rnacentral:rRNA from 1 species